AAGCUGGAGAAAGUCCGGUCUAGGUAAGAACCAAGUCGCCUAGUAGCUGACAGGCAGCUAGUGGAGAAAUCCUAAGGUUGAAGCCCUGUGACAAAGUAACUACAAAUAGAAGUGCGAGCGAAUCAGCAGACCGUAACAUAA
rnacentral:ncRNA from 1 species